rnacentral:rRNA from 1 species
UACGUAGGGUGCGAGCGUUAAUCGGAAUUACUGGGCGUAAAGCGUGCGCAGGCGGUUCGUUAAGUCUGAUGUGAAAGCCCCGGGCUCAACCUGGGAAUGGCAUUGGAAACUAGCGGGCUCGAGUGUGGCAGAGGGGGGUGGAAUUCCACGUGUAGCAGUGAAAUGCGUAGAGAUGUGGAGGAACACCGAUGGCGAAGGCAGCCCCCUGGGCUAACACUGACGCUCAGGCACGAAAGCGUGGGGAGCAAACAGG